UCCCUGGUGGUCUAGUGGCCAAGACUUCUUGUUCCCAAUGCAGGGGGCCUGGGUUCAAUCCCUGGUCAGGGAA
rnacentral:tRNA from 1 species